UUUUCUGUGGCUUAGUUGGUUAAAACGCCGGACUAGCGAUUCGUAGUCGUGGGUUAGAGUCCCACCAAAACAA
rfam:Aedes albopictus isolate Foshan contig77585, whole genome shotgun sequence.